rnacentral:tmRNA from 1 species
GGGGGUGAAAGGGCUCGACUUAAGCAGUCGGGUAAGAGCAGCAUGCCGCGGACGCAUGGUUAGCCGCGUUAAUAAUCCGUGCAAAAUACAAACGCAAACAAUCGUUUGUUUAGUGCUGUUGCCAGGCCAAUGGUUAUGCCAAUGGCCGGCAUGGUACCAGUCUUCGCUAACUAAAUUAGCGAAGCCUCUAUCCGUUCCUCGCCUACAGGGCGGAAUAGAGCAUUAGUAGGAUAGUUUAAGGCAAGUUAGUCCUUGUGCCUUAAGCGAAAAUUAAAAGGGCUAAGGCUUAUAGGAUCCUGUCCCGCAGAAUUCUAUGGGCUUAAGUUUAAAUGCGGGACUAAGCAUGUAGCGGCUUUUAUUCGAAAGCUUCAAGGACGCCAGUUCAAUUCUGGCCACCUCCACCA